rnacentral:lncRNA from 1 species
AAAUUAUUCAAAGUGGAAGUUGGAUUUUAUAUCAUGUCCUUGUCAGAAGUAAGCUACCACAGGGUGAAUAAUGACAUCAUGCUGUUAAUAAACGUAUUGACCUUCUCCCUGCAGCUUUUAAGCUUCAGGCCCCAGGACCCAUGGAUUCGCUGGUGCACAGGUGUCACGAUGUUCCCCACGUCGGCAGAAAGGGGUAAAGUUGAACGGCCAAAGUUUAUGCACUUAUUAAGGAGCACGCUAGGAUCUGCACCCAGCCUGACCCUUGAAGGUCCAAGCAAGUGUCCCCACGCCCUGAGAGCGGGAACUUAUGCAAGCAUGGGGAGCGAACACAGUUAUGGCGCGCGCUUAGCUGGCCGCAGGUGCCACGUGUGGUGCGCAGAGCCACCGCUGAUCGCGCGGGGGCUCCGCGGCCUUUGUGUACACCGCAUGAUUCCCA